AGCAGAGUGGCGCAGCAGAAGCAUGCUGGGCCCAUAACCCAGACGUUGGUGGAUCAAAACCAUUCUCUGCUA
rnacentral:tRNA from 1 species